GAGUUUGAUCUUGGCUCAGAUUGAACGCUGGCGGCAGGCCUAACACAUGCAAGUCGAGCGGUAGAGAGAAGCUUGCUUCUCUUGAGAGCGGCGGACGGGUGAGUAAUGCCUAGGAAUCUGCCUGGUAGUGGGGGAUAACGCUCGGAAACGGACGCUAAUACCGCAUACGUCCUACGGGAGAAAGCAGGGGACCUUCGGGCCUUGCGCUAUCAGAUGAGCCUAGGUCGGAUUAGCUAGUUGGUGAGGUAAUGGCUCACCAAGGCGACGAUCCGUAACUGGUCUGAGAGGAUGAUCAGUCACACUGGAACUGAGACACGGUCCAGACUCCUACGGGAGGCAGCAGUGGGGAAUAUUGGACAAUGGGCGAAAGCCUGAUCCAGCCAUGCCGCGUGUGUGAAGAAGGUCUUCGGAUUGUAAAGCACUUUAAGUUGGGAGGAAGGGCAGUAAAUUAAUACUUUGCUGUUUUGACGUUUACCGACAGAAUAAGCACCGGCUAACUCUGUGCCAGCA
rnacentral:rRNA from 1 species